ACUCAAAUGAAUAGACGGGGGCCCGCACAAGCGGAGGAACAUGUGGUUUAAUUCGAUGAUACGCGAGGAACCUUACCCGGGCUUGAAAUGCAGAGGAAUAACGGUGAAAGUCGUUAGCCAGCAAUGGUCUCUGUGUAGGUGCUGCAUGGUUGUCGUCAGCUCGUGCCGUGAGGUGUCGGCUUAAGUGCCAUAACGAGCGCAACCCUUACCAUUAGUUACUAACGGGUUAUGCCGAGGACUCUAAUGGGACUGCCACCGUAAGGUGUGAGGAAGGUGGGGAUGACGUCAAAUCAGCACGGCCCUUACGUCCGGGGCGACACACGUGUUACAAUGGGCGGCACAGAGGGCAGCGACUCCGCGAGGGGAAGCAAAUCUCAAAAAGCCGUUCUCAGUUCGGAUUGGAGUCUGCAACUCGACUCCAUGAAGCUGGAUUCGCUAGUAAUCGCGCAUCAGCCAUGGCGCGGUGAAUACGUUCCCGGGCCUUGUACACACCGCCCGU
rnacentral:rRNA from 1 species